UUUUAAGAAAACCUUAGAAAUGUUGCAUUUAUCAGGAAUUAACAAAACCACAUAACACUAUAUAUCUGAAUCUCUUUAUUUAAAAACAAUUGUUUUGAGUUAGAACACUGUUUUUAAGACCCACAAUGCUAUUAUAAAUGUGAGAUAUAAACAUUAACACCAGUGGAAUGGCCUGAUAAUUACACUAUUGUAAUUAAGAGAGAAUUUUAAGAUCUCAAUUUAGCCAUUUAAAGUUACUCCCUAGACUAGAGCAAUCAUGCCCAUAGCAAAAGAAAGUCACAGAUAACAAAUACUUAAGGCAUCGGACACACCAGCUCAGAAUCAGAAGCAAACACAGAUGGAGUCCACAAAGCCUCUUGUCAUUCCAAUGUCAUGUCUGAAGUCCCUUGGGAAAAACUGUAUAAUAAAAUGUAAUAAAACAUUUAAAAAACAAUAUUUCUUAUAAGUUAUAAAUCUUUCCAAAAAAUGAAUGCUUGUCUGAUCAGCUGUUUGGGGUAAAGGUCCUAUUACCAUAAAAUCCAUGUGUAGACAACUUUGAAAAACUAUUUUUGAAGACAUUUUACGCCCUCAGGUUUAUAUUUUUAAAAUGCUUUCAGGAUCUCAAAGGUUCCAGAUGUUACCACACACACACACACACACACAAAAAGUGCAUCUGCCUCCUUUUCUAUGUGGUGGAUUGAGAGCAUAAAGAAUGAACCACACAAUUUUUGGUUUAUCUGUUUUUCUUUUGGCCCUGAAAUCCCUCAUCACCUUCCUCCUCUCGCCACCUGCACUGUAAUUUAAACUUUUUCUUGGCAUCUACAGCUGCAGAGGGACGAGUUCAUAAAAGACAUAAAAGAAGAAUCUGUCAACAAAAGCUCACUGCCACCAAUCCAGUGCCAACAGGAGGCCCCAGUAUGGGGUGCAGAAAAAAGAGAAACUUUUUUCAGAUGAACAGUUAGCCAACCAACUGAAAUUGCACUCCUCUGAGAAAAAAAGGGUGGCCCGCUUAUAUAAAGUUCCUGCCCUGGUCCCUGAUUGGUCCAUUUCUAUGCAAAUGAGGAAUCCAAAUUUGCAGUCUGAUUGGUCCCAAAAGCACUGUCCUGAUUGGUGGAUAUUGGGCAUUCUGAUCGGUUGCUAUGGAGCUGCUCCUCUUGGUUAGUAAAGAUGCAAAUGAGGCUAUAGCUCUGCAGCUCUCAUUGGAUGGGGCAGAUCUCAGCCCAUUGGUUGAAAUAGGAUUCCAGGAACUCCGUUAAAAGGUGGGCUCAGCUGGCAGGAGCACAGAGCAGGAGGCUGGCAGCUCUGUCUGGCUUUUCCCUGAAAUGCAUCCUGCAUCCAAGGCGUCUGCAAAGAGUGACUGCUAGAUUCUGGUUAUGAAUUUGGGCCCCACGAACCACAAGGGAUCCUUCUGGGCAGCCUUGAAGCCUGUGUACCCCAGAGAUAAGGAUUUAAACUAACGCAGUGACUUGUCAAGAUAAACACUUGCCUGAGUGACUACUCUCCUUAGCCCCUCGCCUUGUUUGAGAUUAACAUAUGCGCAUUGACGUAAAUCAUUGAUAGCCACCUGAGCUGCUACAGGUACGAACAAGCUUUAAAUAUGGACCCUGGCCAGCUAACGAUGCUCAUCUGUCGAGAGAGCCACAAAGGCACGUCCUUUUGCCAGUCCAGCAAGGGACGCUGCUCCACACUCCUCUCUCUGCCAAAUGACAGAAAAAUGGUAACACCCGAUUGAGACGCGACUGAGCUCUCAGGUGAGGAACGCCGGCCCUCUGCACCCGGACCAGCCCAGCCCAGCUGCCGGACCCCAAAGGACAGCACCACAAGGAUCCCUAACUAAGCUUGUACCCACAGCUCAGGAAUUUGUGUGAGUAAUAAAAAAGCUGUGUGAUUUGCAAC